UAUCAAUAGGGUUUGCUUGACACUUUCAGUAAGAUUCUUCAUUAAUUUCUACAUACUUGCGAUAGAUGAGUAAUGCGAUGAUUGACUCUCACAAUUAAUAGACAAAUAUCAUGUAUAUAGGUUAAGAAAAGUUUUAUAGAUUUAUAGGUAUGUUUUACCCCCUCGCAUGAUUAUCAAGGCACAGCUGGAGUUGGGACUUCUGGGAGGGCCGGCUUGCCACUAUGGCAACUUCUGACCUCCAAUCAGGAUAUGAGGAAGAGGUCUCCACCACUGGACAGCAGAGAAGGGGUUGAUGGACAGGAUUUGGGAGGGGUUAAAAGGUUAAAAGGGGAUAACCUCCAUUGUGAGGGGGCUUAGCACAUGGUGGGGAAAAUCUUUUGCUCCUGGCGUUGUAACUUUUUUUCUUUAUUCUGUAUUUCUUUUUUUUUUCUGUUGUAUAUUCGAUAAGUUUUAAUAACCUUCCUAAACUGUGAAAAGUGAGUAGCGAUUUCUCACAAUGCUAUGUAUUUAAGUAUAUAUUUAUGUAUAUAACGUAGCAUUUAAAUACAGAAAUAAUUCCAGUGCUACACUGGAGAAGAUAGAAUCCACCAAAUAUUUACCUGGGAGAGAUAGGAAGCUAUACAGAUGGAUAGUUGGAAAUGACAUUAAAGAAAGGACAAGGUUGCAAAUUGCUUGAUCAAUACAGUACAGCAAUGGAGAGAAGAACUGAAAAAGUCUAUAUCCUAUAGGGAUAAGGAUAAAUAUGGGUCAAUGAUGAGAAUUCAAUUGCCAUAAUAAAAGAGGUGCAAAUGAGAAAGCAUAACUUUCAUGCACGGGCAAUAAUUGACUUUAUAUCCAAUGGCUAGUGCUUGAAAUAAAAAACAAAGCUAUAAAACCAGAAAAAUAUCAUGAUAAUAAUAAUGAACAGUUGAGCCCUACUGUGUGCAACUGCUGUGUGUGCCCAUUUUGCAUCUGCAAAUUCCUGCCUGUGCCCAAACCCAUCUCUGCAGCUGAUCCACACAGCUUUUAUAACCUGUUUCUGACAGCACUAAUAUUUAGUAGACAUCUGCACUCAACUAUUGCUUCUUUUCAGAUGUCUCCAAGGGCUAUGGAACUCACCUGGACCAAAUGUUCUCUGUUUGCAGACAGGGAAACUGAGACAUACAGAGAGCAUAAUUUCCAUAUGGUCCCCUGGAAACUCAGGAAAAAUCACUUCAUGAGCCUCCUUAAGAAAUCCUAG
rnacentral:lncRNA from 1 species